GAUGCACGCUGGCGGCGUGCUUAAUACAUGCAAGUCGAGCGAAGCGGGGACGGGUGAGUAACACGUGGAUAACCUCCUAUAAGACUGGGAUAACUUCGGGAAACCGGAGUUCAACCGGAUACGUAUAGAUGGAUCCGCGCUGCAUUAGCCAGUUGGUUAGGUAACGGCUUACCAAGGCAACGAUGCAUAGCCGACCGGAGAGGGUGAUCGGCCACACUGGAACUGGGCCACGGUCCAGACUCCUACGGACGGCAGCAGUAGGGAAUCUUCCGCAAUGGGCGAAAUCCUGACGGGGCAACGCCGCGUGAGUAAUGAAGGUCUUCGGAUCGUAAAACUCUGUUAUUAGGGAAGCGGUACCGAAUCAGAAAGCCACGGCUAACUACGUGCCAGCAGCCGCGGUAAUUC
rnacentral:rRNA from 1 species